rnacentral:rRNA from 1 species
AUUGAACGCUGGCGGCAGGCCUAACACAUGCAAGUCGAACGAGUGGCGGACGGGUGAGUAAUGUCUGGGAAACUGCCUGAUGGAGGGGGAUAACUACUGGAAACGGUAGCUAAUACCGCGUACCAUAGGAUGAGCCCAAGUGGGAUUAGGUAGUUGGUGGGGUAAUGGCCUACCAAGCCGACGAUCUCUAGCUGGUCUGAGAGGAUGACCAGCCACACCGGGACUGAGACACGGCCCGGACUCCUACGGGAGGCAGCAGUGGGGAAUAUUGCGCAAUGGGGGCAACCCUGACGCAGCCAUGCCGCGUGUAUGAAGAAGGCCUUCGGGUUGUAAAGUACUUUCAGCGGGGAGGCGUUACCCGCAGAAGAAGCACCGGCUAACUCCGUGCCAGCAGCCGCGGUAAUUC